rnacentral:rRNA from 1 species
AUUGACGACCGUACCGCAAACCGACACUGGUGCGCGUGAUGAGUAUUCUCAGGCGCUUGAGAGAACUCUGGAGAAGGAACUCGGCAAAUUGACACCGUAACUUCGGAAGAAGGUGUGCCUUUAGUAGGUGAAGCCCCCGCGGGCCGAGCCCAAUGAGGCCGCAGAGAAUCGGUGGCUGCGACUGUUUAUUAAAAACACAGCACUCUGCAAAGACGAAAGUCGACGUAUAGGGUGUGACGCCUGCCCGGUGCUGGAAGAUUAAAUGAUGGGGUGCAAGCUCUUGACUGAAGUCCCAGUAAACGGCGGCCGUAACAAUAACGGUCCUAAGGUAGCGAAAUUCCUUGUCGGGUAAGUUCCGACCUGCACGAAUGGCGUAACGAUGGCCACACUGUCUCCUCCUGAGACUCAGCGAAGUUGAAAUGUUUGUGAUGAUGCAAUCUACCCGCGGCUAGACGGAAAGACCCCAUGAACCUUUACUGUAGCUUUGCAUUGGACUUUGAAUCAAUCUGUGUAGGAUAGGUGGGAGGCUUUGAAGUAGGGACGCCAGUUCCUAUGGAGCCAUCCUUGAAAUACCACCCUGGUUCAUUUGAGGUUCUAACCUUGGUCCGUUAUCCGGAUCGGGGACAGUGCAUGGUAGGCAGUUUGACUGGGGCGGUCUCCUCCUAAAGUGUAACGGAGGAGUUCGAAGGUACGCUAGGUACGGUCGGACAUCGUGCUAAUAGUGCAAUGGCAUAAGCGUGCUUAACUGCGAGACCGACAAGUCGAGCAGGUACGAAAGUAGGACAUAGCGAUCCGGUGGUUCUGAUGGAAGGGCCAUCGCUCAACGGAUAAAAGGUACUCCGGGGAUAACAGGCUUGAUACCGCCCAAGAGUUCAUAUCGACGGGGGUGUUUGGCACCUCGAUGUCGGCUCAUCACAUCCUGGGGCUGAAGUAGGUCCCAAGGGUUUGGCUGUUCGCCAAUUAAAGUGGUACGCGAGCUGGGUUCAGAACGUCGUGAGACAGUUCGGUCCCUAUCUGCCGUGGGCGUUGGAAGAUUGAGAGGGGCUGCUCCUAGUACGAGAGGACCGGAGUGGACGCAUCACUGGUGUUCGGGUUGUCAUGCCAAUGGCAUUGCCCGGUAGCUAAA